rnacentral:rRNA from 1 species
AACGAACGCUGGCGGCAUGCCUAACACAUGCAAGUCGAACGAGACCUUCGGGUCUAGUGGCGCACGGGUGCGUAACGCGUGGGAACCUGCCCUUAGGUUCGGAAUAACUCCCCGAAAGGGGUGCUAAUACCGGAUAAUGUCUUCGGACCAAAGAUUUAUCGCCUUUGGAUGGGCCCGCGUUGGUUUAGCUAGUUGGUAGGGUAAAAGCCUACCAAGGCGACGAUGCAUAGCUGGUCUGAGAGGAUGAUCAGGCACACUGGGACUGAGACACGGCCCAGACUCCUACGGGAGGCAGCAGAGGGGAAUAUUGGACAAUGGGCGAAAGCCUGAUCCAGCAAUGCCGCGUGAGUGAUGAAGGCCUUAGGGUUGUAAAGCUCUUUUACCCGGGAUGAUAAUGACAGUACCGGGAGAAUAAGCGCCGGCUAACUCCGUG